rnacentral:misc_RNA from 1 species
ACUUGCAUGGCAAUGGCAACAACCAUAAAAAGAUAGAAAAAAAGGCAGAGUCAUUUUAUCGUUUGUACUGACGGAUGCCAAGUAUGAUGAAGGUGAGGUUGGAUAUUUACGGAUGGAACUGGAGGAUAGGCAUGUCAAUAAUAUCUAAGGGGCACUAAGAAUGCCACCAUUUGAACUGGGUAUUUUGAUAGCCCCCCUCAAUAUAUUUGAUGGUAGACUGCUCUUAUUCGAUCCGUGUAAGUUUUCGGGUGAUUCAAGUACUCGAG